rnacentral:sRNA from 1 species
UAUCACGGAACGGGGAAAGAGGUGACGA